rnacentral:rRNA from 1 species
AACGAACGCUGGCGGCAGGCCUAAUACAUGCAAGUCGAGGGGUAAAUAUGUAGUAAUAUAUAUGAGACCGGCGCACGGGUGCGUAACACGUAUGCAACCUACCUUUUACUGGGGAAUAGCUCAGAGAAAUCUGAAUUAAUACCCCAUAACACUGCAGAAUGGCAUCAUUUUGCAUUUAAAGCUCCGGCGGUAAAAGAUGGGCAUGCGGAACAUUAGCUAGUUGGUGAGGUAAUGGCUCACCAAGGCUACGCUGUUUAGGGGGUCUGAGAGGAUGAUCCCCCACACUGGUACUGAGACCCGGACCAGACUCCUACGGGAGGCAGCAGUAGGGAAUAUUGGGCAAUGGACGAAAGUCUGACCCAGCCAUGCCGCGUGCAGGAUGAAUGUCCUAUGGAUUGUAAACUGCUUUUAUAUGGGAAGAAACCCCUGGAUGCGUCCGGGGCUGACGGUACCAUUUGAAUAAGGAUCGGCUAACUUCGUGCCAGCCGCCGCCGUAAAAC